rnacentral:rRNA from 1 species
UGACGGGAGCGCAACUGACGCUCAUGCUCGAAAGUGCGGGUAUCGAACAGGAUUAGAUACCCUGGUAGUCCGCACGGUAAACGAUGGAUGCCCGCUAUUUGCCCUUUUUGGGGUAAGUGGCCAAGCGAAAGCGUUAAGCAUCCCACCUGGGGAGUACGCCGGCAACGGUGAAACUCAAAGGAAUUGACGGGGGCCCGCACAAGCGGAGGAACAUGUGGUUUAAUUCGAUGAUACGCGAGGAACCUUACCCGGGUUUGAAUUGCAGGAGAACGAUCCAGAGAUGGUGAGGCCCUUCGGGGCUCCUGUGAAGGUGCUGCAUGGUUGUCGUCAGCUCGUGCCGUGAGGUGUCGGCUUAAGUGCCAUAACGAGCGCAACCCCUUUCUCCAGUUGCCAUCAGGCUUAGGCUGGGCACCCUGGAGACACUGCCACCGUAAGGUGCGAGGAAGGUGGGGAUGACGUCAAAUCAGCACGGCCCUUACGUCCGGGGCUACACACGUGUUACAAUGGGUGGCACAGAGAGCCGGCGGCCCGCAAGGUCCGCCCAAUCAUAAAAUCCACCCUCAGUUCGGACUGGGGUCUGCAACCCGACCCCACGAAGCUGGAUUCGCUAGUAAUCGCGCAUCAGCCAUGGCGCGGUGAAUACGUUCCCGGGCCUUGUACACACCGCCCGUCAAGCCAUGAAAGCCGGGGGUGCCUGAAGUCCGUGACCGCGAGGAUCGGCCUAGGGCAAAACUGGUGAUUGGGGCUAAGUCGUAACAAGGUAACCA